rnacentral:sRNA from 1 species
GCUGGGUGUGGUGAUGCACACCUGUAAUCUCAGUUAUUCAGGUGGCUGAGGCAGGAGGAUUGCAAGUUCCAAUCCAACCUGGGACAUUUAGGGAGACCAUCAGCAACUUAGGGAGAACCUGCCUCAA